UUCUGAACAUUUUUGAGCAAAGGACUUACAAGAAAGAUCCAUAAGUAAAAAAUAAUAUUCUGGAAUUAUACCGAAUUGAUUGGAGAGACUAGAGUAGAAAUGGGAAGAAAUAAUAAAACCAGUCCUAGGAAAGAAAAAGGAAUAGCAGAAAGGGGAGAGAUAAUAAUAACUACAUAGAACUUUACAAAUAUUAUAUCAUUUAUCUUCAGAACAACUCUGGAAGGCAGGUGGUAUUAUUAUCCUUAUUUUACGGAGGAGAAAACUGACCCUGAGAGAGAUUAAAUGAGUUACUCAACCAAUAAGGAUCAGAUGGCUAAUGUCUGAGUCUGGAUUAUGAACUCAUAUCUUCCUUUCUCCUUGUGCUGUAACCACUGGACGACCUCCCUGCUUUCUAGAUGUGAAGUACUUUGCUUCUGGAGUUUGGGGGAAGGAGUAACUGACUGGAUAAUGAGAAAUUAAAGAGAAAAUUAAAAAAUAGCUUUAAGGUUGCGAAUAUAUGAGUCUGAGUGAUAUGCCAUAGACAGAAAGAGUAAAAUCUGAAACCUUUUACUCAUACUCUUAUAACCCUUACUUUUCUGAUGUGGAAACUGUGGCCCAGCUAGUAAGUUGUAAAAGAUCCCAAGUUCUAGUCUUCAGAUCCAGCUUCCUUUCAGAGAGAGAGAGCAGUUGUUUGAUUUUUGUGUUUGUGAUUUUAAUUCCUAAUGUAGUAUUUUGUACUCAAUAAGCACUUCAUACUUGUGGAACUGAACCUAUGGCCUGAGACUGUAUAGAGGGGUCAGGAACCAAAGUUAGAAAGGUCUGAAUAGGAGAGGGGACAGAUAAAAGAGCACUAUUUCCUCUCUUAGGUAGGACUACACUAGGGAAGGGGAGAGGGUUUGACUAAGGUCCAGAACUGAAAGGUAAGAAGGAAAGUUCUUCAGACUCCGGUUUCUGGUUUCCUCCCCUAAUAGAUGAUUGUCCUGAUCUCCCCUAGAACAUUAGAAAGGAAGAUGGUCCUUUUUCCCUCUUUGGCUUUAACUACAAAUUGAGGCUCAGUCUCUGCUAAGUAAUAAUAACUUUAUUCUUUGAAAAUAUAUGGAAAUUGGAGUACAUGGAUAGAGGGGAAAAUGAAGAAAAUCCUACCAUUUUAUCCUAAAUUCCCUCUCAAGGGUUGAUGGCUCAGGUCUGGGGACCUGAAUCCCUGGAGAGAUAUAGAGUCAGGCUGUUGGACUACUGAUUUAGAGGGAUGUCAGUUGAAGAUCUUGAGUGGAUAGUCUCUUCUGUUCCCCACAGGGAAAAAGUCUCUAUCCUCUAAUGAAAAGAUGAUGACUAUGUUCUGAUUCACAUCAGCUAAUUGAAGGACCUUAACUGGUUGAGCUCAGAGUGAUGCUCUUCUCUCCUCCUUGCCAGAAGAGAAAGAACCCGGUCUCCAACUGCUGAUCUGCUUUUCUUGGCUAGAAGUUCUAGCCCCACCCCCCACUGACAGCAGAAUUCCAUCUUCUUUCUUCCUGGUGGUUUUUGGCAAACCAAGUCCUUGCAAUGCAGUCUGUAAUUCUCUCAUCCAUAAGACUCCAAAUAUAGCACUCUUUUUAGGAUACUCUGAAGAAUAGGGUUGGUUUUUGUUUUUGUUUUUGGAGGGAAGGGAACAUUUGUACUUGGGCAUGAUGUUUGAAGUGGGGUCAGAAAGAGGGGAUCCAGGUAGAUAUGCCUGUUAGGUGUUGUUGUAAGGAUAAAAGAUUAGCCUAGGAGAUCCUAUAGGACAGAAACAGGGCCAAGAUUCCAGAGCUCUGAAGAAGGCAGUUUCUGGGAGAUAGUUGCUUCUCUGGAGGAGACAGGGGAGUUGGUGGAGUUGCUCUCUGGAGAAGGAGACUUUUAAGUUGCCAGGAGACUGGGACUUUCCUUCAAACAAGUUUUCAUCUUCUGUAAGUGGUAGGGAGAAUGGUUAACAUUCCACACAGGUGGACUGUGUGAAUGAAUCCAAUUCUCCUCUUCCUGAUCCUGUGUGCUGCUGAUUUUCUACUGGGACUUCUGCCAGACCCAAGAGGACAUCAGUCUGUCAGACUUCCUUUGGCCCUUAUCCCUGUAUCUACAAGUCCUUCCUUAAUUUUAAUAUAGUAAUUAAGGAUUAAUUGGUAUAGUUUAGAAAGUAGAUUUAUAGGUAGUAAAAUCAUUGGUUAGUAGUACUCUGACUUUGGGGUUUUGCAACAAACUGAGUGGUGCACAGUGAGUGAUUGACAGGAGCAUGUGACUAAGAGUCACAUGGGAGCUUAAGGCUGCAGAUCUGGGGAAAGGUUCUAUGUCCCAACUGACACACUUCUUUCCUGGAAGGACCUUGAUUGGAAAGGCUUGAAAAUCAGUUUUCUGCUUCUUCAAAUAACAACUGAAGAGAGAAAAAUCUUUGAAUAUGGCUGCUGGCAGCUUGGGUAAAGAAGAUUGAAGACAAACUUCACUUCUGGACCUGUUUGGACACUAAUCAACUGAAGAUCCUGGCCCUUUUGAUUGGAUUCCAUUUGUGCAAUGAAUGAAAACAUCAGCCUUGUUGGUUUUCUACACUACAUAUUCCUGUUUGACAAGUCCAUAAGGACAUUCCAGGCCCACUGAGGCAAAAGCAGCCAGAAAAACACAUAUGAAGAUCUGCUUCAAGACUCUGGCAAGGACCAGUCUGACCUUACAUAUCUACAAAUCACUGUCUAAAGACUACUUGGCUUUCUUAAUUGGCUCAGAACAUCCUGACCAACCAACUUACUAUUACAAACCAUGAGCUCUAUCUCAGGGACAAGUGACUUUCAUGCAUAUCAACUAUGCCUUAGUGCUUUUGUACUUCUAAAGACAUCCAUAUGCCAUCAAUGACAGACCAAAAGAAGCUUUGAAGAUUACCAUUGGGUGAAGAGUAUUCCUAACUGCACCUGUAUACUCUAUUUGGCACAAAGGAUGUCUGCCCUUGAUAUCAUUUUCCUUUGAUCAUAAAGUGUAGGAACUGUAUCAAUAUUGGGCCUAUAUGCUCAAUGAAAUGGAAUCCACAAUCCCAUUCAUGGUCCCCUUCACCCUGCCAAUUUCUCAUCCACCUGAUAUUUCUCCCUCUUCUCCCUUUUUCCCUGAUCUGGUGUCUGGAGAGAAACAUUUCUUAUAACCUUUUGACAACUUUGGUCCAUUCUUUCCCUCUCUCUUGAACCCUCUCUUUCCAUCAUAGUCUUUAUGCUCAUACUUUUCUCUUUUCAGGAUGGUAUUAUGUCUGCUUUUGGAAGUUUGCCUUGCACUCAGGGGUGUUAUUCUUCUCAGGACUCUCAUUGCUACAGAUCUGGGGAUAGAUCUUCCAUUGCCACACAUCCCUUUAGAGACUAUGAACUGACUUAAUGAAUCAUCAUAAAUGUUAAAGGGGGUUCCAGUUGCUUGUAGUAGGAGUAAUAUUAUCUUAGUGUCACCCAAGGGAUCUGUCAAGAGAUCUGUAAGAGUCUUAGCUAAAUGCUACUUGGGUUCCUUUCUCCCAGAGUUGUAACUAGACAUUUUUUCACCUGAAACAGGAACCAUUUGGUGAUGGAGCUAGUGGUAGGUAGUAUGGGUACAGUCAUACUAGGAAAUUGGGUUGGUCAAACUUUUGCACAUACUUAGAUUUGAGGAGAUUCAAGAUAGACUAUAGUUAUUAGAAUGACUAAAAUAUGGUAGCUGCACCUCAUAUUGUAGUAUGCUGGUAGAGGAAUGAGGGGUUCAGAAAUCCUGGUUCCCAAGAAAGAUAAGCUCUUUGAGAUCAGUGAUGGUGGUGGUGGUGGUGAUAAGCCUUUAUUUCUAGUGUCUAACAUAGUAAAUAAGCACAUACUAGGUGCUUAGUGGAUGCUUGUUGGUUAAUUGACUGUGAAGAGCAUGUGAGAAAAAAUAGGUCUACCCACCUUCCCAGCAUCCAUCCAUCUGUAAUGAGGGAAGGAAAGAAAUGGCUUGCCAAUAGGUAGCAGAGAGGAGAGUUUGCAAAGAGGAACCUUGCUGCAUGCCAUGGAAUGAUAUAAGCUCAGUUCUGGAAUCUGGGACAUUAUAAAAAUAGACACAGAGAGAACUCUGGGCUUUUGGUUUCCUGUUUCUGGGAGAGCUUGAAGCUACUAUUUCCUGCUGCUUACCAUCUGUGUGAGUGAAGUGGGGGUUUGGUUUCUUAUCCUCAUGGAGCCUAAACUACCAAUCCUGCUGUCCAGUUUGAACAAGCCUGUCUACUAUUUAAUUUACUCAAGAUUCCAGCAUCCUGAGAGAAUGUUUCCAGCUGCUCUGAGCUCUGUGUCUGGCCAGCCAGUGACAGAAGACCAGGAGGCUUACAGCCAUCUUGGGUCUACCUGGCCAGGGUUGGUCCCUGAAAUAAAGGGUCAGCCUACCUGAUCUAAAGAACUAUUUACCUUACCAAAUUUAUCUGGGAGGAUUUUAAUCAGGUAGUAAGACAGAAAGGGAAAAUCUUAGACAGUCAGAGUAGUGAAUUAGGCAGCCAGAAGACCAGAAGAUAUCCCUUUGCAGGGGUUGGGCAUCCUAUUCCCUAAUCCAGUUUAUGGAGAUUCAAAUAAAACCCUGUCUUUGUUUUUUAA